ensembl:lncRNA MIR7515HG MIR7515 host gene
UUGACAGUUUGGCUUCCCUGUUCUGGGUGGCAAAGCCUGUGGAGUACUCACCUACCUGCUGCAUGAAGGCAGCAUGGAGGGACUGUGGUGGAUUAUCUGCAAAGAUGGCCAAAAUUCUCUCAUCCCUGCAGGCACAUACAAGGAAAUUGAAGUAUACAGAAUGCUUAUUUGGUCUACUCAGUAUCAUCCUAAAUGUAUGUACCAAUGCUUAGGAGUUUGCAGUUCACCCGCAAACCUCAGCGAUCCAAGCUCCCCUGGAUGACCAUCACUCACCAAGAAAAGAGCAAUAACAGGACCUGUUUUGCUAAUCCAGGACUGUUCUCCAGCACUAACUCUAAAUAAUCCCUUCUGCUAGAGUCCACUUUCUGGAACCUGUUGCCUCCGUUUUCAACGUUUCCCAAACUUGGUCCGUUGUGUGAGCUGGCUGAUAAAAGUUCCAGGGAGAAGACAUCUUACUCUUAUUGGAUCAUGCACAGUGCCUGAAGCAUUCUGUUGCAUGUAGAAGUCAGUAAAUUGCAGAUGUAAGAUUCAAAACCAGACUUCACAUCUACCGACUUCAGUGACCCUGAAAUUUGUUCACAGAGAGCAUUUAACAUAACUGUCUUCAUCAUCUCCUUCUCUACAUUAAAAAUUAUGGUUCACAAAGACGUUAUUGGUGAUUCAAUCUUGAGUCAUGAAAAGUCAACCUUGAGCCACAAAAAGUCAACCUUGAGCCAAGCAGAUUGGAGAGUCAUACAUGCCAUUCCUGGGACCAUCAAAAAUGGCAGAGGUCACACAAAAAGGCAAAACUUUUAAGAGGUGUUUUAAACGUCGUAUGGGCCAAAGAGAAGCUGGAUUUCCUAUUGGAGUCACCUGUAACACACGUGUGACGAAAUUGGCCUGUGAGGACAAGGCAGUGAGCAGAGAGGACAGCAGUCCUUAUGAGAUCAAGCUCUAAGGUAUCCUAGACACAUUUGGAGAAUUCACCUGAGCUACAGGAUGUGGUAAGAUUUGGUGAGCAGGUGGUGAUUCUUACAGAAUCCCUCACACAUUCAUGCACAGAACUUCCCCAGCACACUCCCAGGUAGGACCACUUCCCUCUUCAUUGUGCAAAGAUUCACCACUGGUUCCAGCCUUCUCUGGCACUUUUAAGAUAUGCAUCAGGUUUUAUUCAUCUCUGAUUUUCUAGCCUCUGGCAGACUACCUGGUGUACCAGAGGCUUUGUAAGUAAUAGUUAAAUAAAGAGAAAACAUUAAAGCAA